AACUAUAUUUUAUAUUAUUGGUUCCUGCGUGAGAUUGGAGCGCUGGCCGCCAUGCCUUUACACAUCCAAGUCGAAGCGCCAAACAAGCGUGCUUUCUCCUGGUGGCGAGUGGCGAAACGGGUGAGUAAUACAUCGGAACAUGUCCUGUAGUGGGGGAUAGCCGGUCGAAAGCCGGAUUAAUACCGCAUGCGAUCUGCGUAUGAAAGCGGGGUACUUUCGGGCCUCGCGAUAUAGGGUUGGCCGAUGGCAGAUUAUAUAGUUGGUGGGAUAAAGGCCUACCAAGGCGACGAUCUGUAGCUUGUGUGAGAGGACGACCACCCACACUGGGAGUGAGACACGGCCCAGACUCCUACGAGAGGCAACAGUGGGGAAUUUUGCACAAUGGGCGAAAGCGUGAUCCAGCAAUGCCGCGUGUGAGAAGAAGGCCUUCGGGUUGUAAACCACUUUUGUCCGGAAAGAAAUCCUUGGCUCUAAUACAGUCGGGGGAUGACGGUCCCGGAAGAAUAAGCACCGGCUAUUUACGUCCCAGCAGCCGCGGUAAUACGUAGGGCGCGAGCGUUAAUCGGAAUUACUGGGCGUAAAGCGUGCGCAGGCGGUUUGAUAAGACCGAUGUGAAAUCCCCGGGCUCAACCUGGGAACCGCAUUGGUGACUGGCAGGCUAGAGUAUGGCAGAGGGGGGUAGAAUUCCACGUGUCGCAGUGAAAUGCGUAGAGAUGUGGAGGAAUACCGAUGGAGAAGGCAGCCCCCUGGGCCAAUACUGACGCUCACGCAAGAAAGCGUGGGGAGCACACAGGAUUAGAUCCCCUGGUAGUCCACGCCCUAAACGAUGUCAACUAGUUGUUGGGGAUUCAUUUCCUCAGUAACGAAGCUAACGCGUGAAGUGACCGCCUGGGAGUACGUCGCAUAGACGUCAAUGGACGGG
rnacentral:rRNA from 1 species